rnacentral:rRNA from 1 species
UACGUAGGGUGCGAGCGUUAAUCGGAAUUACUGGGCGUAAAGUGUGCGCAGGCGGCCGCGCAAGUCGAGUGUGAAAGCCCCGAGCUUAACUUGGGAAUUGCGCUCGAAACUACGUGGCUGGAGUGUGGCAGAGGAAGGUGGAAUUCCACGUGUAGCGGUGAAAUGCGUAGAGAUGUGGAGGAACACCAAUGGCGAAGGCAGCCUUCUGGGCCAACGCUGACGCUCAUGCACGAAAGCGUGGGGAGCAAACAGG